GUGGGGAAUAUUGGACAAUGGGCGCAAGCCUGAUCCAGCAAUGCCGCGUGGAUGAAGAAGGUCUUCGGAUUGUAAAGUCCUUUCGGCGGGGACGAUGAUGACGGUACCCGCAGAAGAAGCCCCGGCUAACUUCGUGCCAGCAGCCGCGGUAAUACGAAGGGGGCUAGCGUUGCUCGGAAUGACUGGGCGUAAAGGGCGCGGAGGCGGUUUGGUCAGUUCGAUGUGAAAUUCCUGGGCUUAACCUGGGGGCUGCAUUUAAUACGGCCAGACUUGAGUGUGAAAGAGGGUCGUGGAAUUCCCAGUGUAGAGGUGAAAUUCGUAGAUAGCGGGAGGAACAUCUGUGGCGAAGGCAGCCCCCUGGGAUAAUACUGACGCUCAGGCACGAAAGCGUGGGGAGCAAACAGGAUUAGAAACCCCAGUAGUCC
rnacentral:rRNA from 1 species